rnacentral:rRNA from 1 species
GAGUGGCGAACUGGUGAGUAACACGUGGGAAACCUGCCCAGAAGCGGGGGAUAACACCUGGAAACAGAUGCUAAUACCGCAUAACAACUUGGACCGGAUGGUCCGAGCUUGAAAGAUGGCUUCGGCUAUCACUUUUGGAUGGUCCCGCGGCGUAUUAGCUAGAUGGUGGGGUAACGGCUCACCAUGGCAAUGAUACGUAGCCGACCUGAGAGGGUAAUCGGCCACAUUGGGACUGAGACACGGCCCAAACUCCUACGGGAGGCAGCAGUAGGGAAUCUUCCACAAUGGACGAAAGUCUGAUGGAGCAACGCCGCGUGAGUGAAGAAGGGUUUCGGCUCGUAAAACUCUGUUGUUAAAGAAGAACAUAUCUGAGAGUAACUGUUCAGGUAUUGACGGUAUUUAACCAGAAAGCCACGGCUAACUACGUGCCAGCAGCCGCGGUAAUACGUAGGUGGCAAGCGUUGUCCGGAUUUAUUGGGCGUAAAGCGAGCGCAGGCGGUUUUUUAAGUCUGAUGUGAAAGCCUUCGGCUCAACCGAAGAAGUGCAUCGGAAACUGGGAAACUUGAGUGCAGAAGAGGACAGUGGAACUCCAUGUGUAGCGGUGAAAUGCGUAGAUAUAUGGAAGAACACCAGUGGCGAAGGCGGCUGUCUGGUCUGUAACUGACGCUGAGGCUCGAAAGUAUGGGUAGCAAACAGGAUUAGAUACCCUGGUAGUCCAUACCGUAAACGAUGAAUGCUAAGUGUUGGAGGGUUUCCGCCCUUCAGUGCUGCAGCUAACGCAUUAAGCAUUCCGCCUGGGGAGUACGGCCGCAAGGCUGAAACUCAAAGGAAUUGACGGGGGGCCCGCACAAGCGGUGGGAGCAUGUGGGUUUAAUUCCAAAGCUACGCCAAAAAACCUUAACCAGGUCCUGGACA